rnacentral:rRNA from 1 species
AAUCAACGCUGGCGGCGUGCCUCAGACAUGCAAGUCGAACGCGAAAGUUUCCUUCGGGGGAACAAGUAGAGUGGCGCACGGGUGAGUAACACGUAGGUAAUCUACCUUUGGAUGGGGAAUAACAACCGGAAACGGUUGCUAAUACCGCAUAAUGCAGCGGCACCUAAUGGUGACAGUUGUUAAAGCGGGGGAUCGAAAGACCUCGCGUCUGAAGAGGAGCCUGCGGCGGAUUAGCUAGUGGUAAGGUAAUGGCUUACCAAGGCGACGAUCCGUAACCGGCCUGAGAGGGCGGUCGGUCACACUGACACUGACAUACGGGUCAGACUCCUACGGGAGGCAGCAGUCGGGAAUUUUGGGCAAUGGGCGAAAGCCUGACCCAGCAACGCCGCGUGAAGGAUGAAAUCCCUCGGGAUGUAAACUUCGCAAGAACGGGAAGAAUAAGCGAGAGUUAAUAUCUUUCGUGAUG